CCUACGGGAGGCAGCAGUGGGGAAUAUUGGGCAAUGGGCGAAAGCCUGACCCAGCAACGCCGCGUGAAGGAAGAAGGCUUUCGGGUUGUAAACUUACUUUGACAGGGAAGAGCAGAAGACGGUACCUGUCGAAUAAGUCACGGCUAACUACGUGCCAGCAGCCGCGGUAAUACGUAGGUGGCAAGCGUUGUCCGGAUUUACUGGGUGGAAAGGGCGUGUAGCCGGGCUGAAAAGUCAGAUGUGAAAUCCGGGGGCUCAACCCCCGAGCUGCAUUUGAAACUGUUGGUCUUGAGUAUCGGAGAGGCAGGCGGAAUUCCUAGUGUAGCGGUGAAAUGCGUAGAUAUUAGGAGGAACACCAGUGGCGAAGGCGGCCUGCUGGACGACAACUGACGGUGAGGCGCGAAAGCGUGGGGAGCAAACAGGAUUAGAUACCCUGGUAGUC
rnacentral:rRNA from 1 species